GGGCAUUUAGCUGUGCAGCUCCAAAAUUCUCUCACAUUCCCACCUCAGACUCUCUUCAUUCAAAAAACAGCUCAAGACCCACUUAUUCAGGCAAGUGUACGGGAUUCUAAGAAACCCGUCCCCCCCUUAACCCUCGCCCUUUCUUCGGUUGCUGAAGUGCCUUUGGACCAGCCUUUGCCAAGAGCUGUAAACAAGCGUAAUAGAAUUGCACAGGCGCAAGCCGAGACAGCCGACUGUGCAUCCCUGAUCAACCUGGCCCUCCCCGCCCGUGCGCUAACAAGCCCGGGUGCUUCAUUGUGCAUUCAGAGAGAGUCCUGCCAAUCCCCCAAAUUAUUGAAGCUGCUGGCGCUGAUUUUGGUCGCCUCCUGGUGUCCAUGGCAGCUGUCAUCUCAGCAGAAAACACUCGCAGCCAGGACCAAAGUGGGAGCUGCCCAGGACCGCAAGGAGUGGUCUGGAGGCCCCCUCCCGACGCAGCACUGUGCAGGGCUACACAAAGCAGUCUGUCUGCACAGCGGGUGGGAGGGGGGUGGCGGAGGCGGAGGGGGGCGAGGACAUGUCCACCAAUCACCCAGACGGAACGCUUCCCUCCCUGCCUCUGUCAUCGACUCAUCAGGGCCUCUCAAUGUCUGUCAUCCUCGCCAUCGCCCACCAUCCGUUUCCACGGGACCAGCCAGCCAUGUCUGGCACU